rnacentral:rRNA from 1 species
UGGGGAAUAUUGGGCAAUGGGCGCAAGCCUGACCCAGCAACGCCGCGUGAGGGAAGAAGGCUUUCGGGUUGUAAACCUCUGUCCUUGGUGACGAAACAAAUGACGGUAGCCAAGGAGGAAGCCCCGGCUAACUACGUGCCAGCAGCCGCGGUAAUACGUAGGGGGCGAGCGUUGUCCGGAAUUACUGGGCGUAAAGGGAGCGUAGGUGGCCUUUUAGGUUGGAUGUGAAAUACCCGGGCUUAACCUGGGGGGUGCAUCUAAUACUGGGAGGCUAGAGUGCAGGAGAGGAAAGCGGAAUUCCUAGUGUAGCGGUGAAAUGCGUAGAUAUUAGGAGGAACACCAGUGGCGAAGGCGGCUUUCUGGACCGUAACUGACACUGAGGCACGAAAGCGUCGGGAGCAAACAG